UUGAAACACCAGAUCACGUAUGAUCACUUGAAGUUAAGCAAUGUUGAGCCUGGUCAGUACCUUGAUGGGUGACUGCUUGGGAAUAACGGGUGCAGUAAG